CAUUUUUACAUUUUUAAAUGCAAAUUUUGUUCAUUUUUUGAGUGAGUUAUAUAUCUGCAUUAGUCAGCUAAGGCUGCCAUAAAAUACCACAGAUGGGUGGCUUAAACAACAGACAUUUAUUUUCUCACAGUUGUGGAGGCUGGCAGUCCAAGACCAAGGUGUCAGCAGGGUUGGUUUCUCUUGAGCCCCCUCUCCUUGACUUGCAGAUGGCUCCCUUCUUUCUGUGUCCUCAGAUAGCCUUUUCUCCAGGUGAGCACAUCCCUGAUGUCUCUCUCUCCUUAUAAGGACACUAGUCAUACUGGAUUAGGGCCCC
rnacentral:lncRNA from 1 species